rnacentral:rRNA from 1 species
AGCGCCGGUAAGGUGAUAUGAACCGUUAUAACCGGCGAUACCCGAAUGGGGAAACCCAGUGUGACUCGUCACACUAUCAUUAACUGAAUCCAUAGGUUAAUGAGGCGAACCGGGGGAACUGAAACAUCUAAGUACCCCGAGGAAAAGAAAUCAACCGAGAUUCCCCCAGUAGCGGCGAGCGAACGGGGAGGAGCCCAGAGCCUGAAUCAGCAUGUGUGUUAGUGGAAGCGUCUGGAAAGGCGCGCGAUACAGGGUGACAGCCCCGUACACAAAAGCGCAUGUGCUGUGAGCUCGAUGAGUAGGGCGGGACACGUGGUAUCCUGUCUGAAUAUGGGGGGACCAUCCUCCAAGGCUAAAUACUCCUGACUGACCGAUAGUGAACCAGUACCGUGAGGGAAAGGCGAAAAGAACCCCGGCGAGGGGAGUGAAAAAGAACCUGAAACCGUGUACGUACAAGCAGUGGGAGCACAGGUUUACCUG